rnacentral:rRNA from 1 species
UACGAAGGGGGCUAGCGUUGCUCGGAAUCACUGGGCGUAAAGCGCACGUAGGCGGAUUGCUAAGUCAGGGGUGAAAUCCUGGAGCUCAACUCCAGAACUGCCUUUGAUACUGGCGACCUUGAGUCCGGGAGAGGUGAGUGGAACUGCGAGUGUAGAGGUGAAAUUCGUAGAUAUUCGCAAGAACACCAGUGGUGAAGGCGGCUCACUGGCCCGGUACUGACGCUGAGGUGCGAAAGCGUGGGGAGCAAACAGG